rnacentral:rRNA from 1 species
GACGAAGGAUACAAGCGUUAUCCGGAUUCAUUGGGUUUAAAGGGCGCGUAGGUGGCCUUAUAAGUCAGUGGUGAAAUCUCUGGGCUUAACCCAGAAAUUGCCAUUGAUACUGUAGGGCUUGAGUAUAGUUGCCGUUGGCGGAAUAUGACAUGUAGUGGUGAAAUACAUAGAGAUGUCAUAGAACACCGAUUGCGAAGGCAGCUGACGAAACUAUAACUGACACUGAGGCUCGAAAGUGCGGGGAUCAAACAGG